rnacentral:rRNA from 1 species
UGAUCCUGGCUCAGGAUGAACGCUAGCGGCAGGCUUAACACAUGCAAGUCGAGGGGUAACAUUGUAGCUUGCUACAGAUGACGACCGGCGCACGGGUGCGUAACGCGUAUAGAACUUACCUUUUACAGAGGGAUAGCCUUUAGAAAUGAAGAUUAAUACCUCAUAGUAUUAUUGAUUGGCAUCAAUUAAUAAUUAAAGAUUUAUCGGUAAAAGAUGGCUAUGCGUCCUAUUAGCUAGAUGGUAAGGUAAUGGCUUACCAUGGCUACGAUAGGUAGGGGCCCUGAGAGGGGGAUCCCCCACACUGGUACUGAGACACGGACCAGACUCCUACGGGAGGCAGCAGUGAGGAAUAUUGGGCAAUGGAGGUAACUCUGACCCAGCCAUGCCGCGUGCAGGAAGACUGCCCUAUGGGUUGUAGACUGCUUUUAUACAGGAAGAAACACUCGUACGUGUACGAGCUUGACGGUACUGUAAGAAUAAGGACCGGCUAACUCCGUGCCAGCAGCCGCGGUAAUACGGAGGGUCCGAGCGUUAUCCGGAAUCAUUGGGUUUAAAGGGUCCGCAGGCGGUCAAUUAAGUCAGAGGUGAAAUCCCAUAGCUUAACUAUGGAACUGCCUUUGAUACUGGUUGACUUGAGUCAUAUGGAAGUAGAUAGAAUGUGUAGUGUAGCGGUGAAAUGCAUAGAUAUUACACAGAAUACCGAUUGCGAAGGCAGUCUACUACGUAUGUACUGACGCUCAUGGACGAAAGCGUGGGGAGCGAACAGGAUUAGAUACCCUGGUAGU